GAUGAACGCUGGCGGCGUGCCUAAUACAUGCAAGUCGAGCGAACAGACGAGGAGCUUGCUCCUCUGACGUUAGCGGCGGACGGGUGAGUAACACGUGGAUAACCUACCUAUAAGACUGGGAUAACUUCGGGAAACCGGAGCUAAUACCGGAUAAUAUAUUGAACCGCAUGGUUCAAUAGUGAAAGACGGUUUUGCUGUCACUUAUAGAUGGAUCCGCGCCGCAUUAGCUAGUUGGUAAGGUAACGGCUUACCAAGGCAACGAUGCGUAGCCGACCUGAGAGGGGGAUCGGCCACACUGGAACUGAGAAACGGCCCAGACUCCUACGGGAGGAAGAAGUAGGGAAUCUUCCGAAAUGGGCGAAAGCCUGACGGAGAAACGCCGCGUGAGUGAGGAAGGUCUUCGGAUCGUAAAACUCUGUUAUUAGGGAAGAACAAAUGUGUAAGUAACUAUGCACGUCUGGACGGUACCUAAUCAGAAAGCCACGGCUAACUACGUG
rnacentral:rRNA from 1 species